AUUGAACGCUGGCGGCAGGCCUAACACAUGCAAGUCGAGCGGACGAAGGGAGCUUGCUCCUGGAUUCAGCGGCGGACGGGUGAGUAAUGCCUAGGAAUCUGCCUGGUAGUGGGGGAUAACGUCCGGAAACGGGCGCUAAUACCGCAUACGUCCUGAGGGAGAAAGUGGGGGAUCUUCGGACCUCACGCUAUCAGAUGAGCCUAGGUCGGAUUAGCUAGUUGGUUGGGUAAAGGCCUACCAAGGCGACGAUCCGUAACUGGUCUGAGAGGAUGAUCAGUCACACUGGAACUGAGACACGGUCCAGACUCCUACGGGAGGCAGCAGUAGGGAAUAUUGGACAAUGGGCGAAAGCCUGAUCCAGCCAUGCCGCGUGUGUGAAGAAGGUCUUCGGAUCGUAAAGCACUUUAAGUUGGGAGGAAGGGCAGUAAGUUAAUACCUUGCUGUUUUGACGUUACCAACAGAAUAAGCACCGGCUAACUUCGUG
rnacentral:rRNA from 1 species